rnacentral:rRNA from 1 species
UACAGAGGUCUCAAGCGUUGUUCGGAAUCACUGGGCGUAAAGCGCACGUAGGCGGGUUGCUAAGUCAGGGGUGAAAUCCUGGAGCUCAACUCCAGAACUGCCUUGAUACUGGCGGCCUUGAGUCCGGGAGAGGUGAGUGGAACUGCGAGUGUAGAGGUGAAAUUCGUAGAUAUUCGCAAGAACACCAGUGGCGAAGGCGGCUCACUGGCCCGGUAUCACGCUGAGGCACGAAGCGUGGGAGCAACAGGAUUAGAAUCGACCA